GAUGAACGCUGGCGGCGUGCUUAACACAUGCAAGUCGAACGGAAAGGCUCCUGCUUGCAGGGGUACUCGAGUGGCGAACGGGUGAGUAACACGUGGGUGAUCUGCCCUGCACUUCGGGAUAAGCCUGGGAAACUGGGUCUAAUACCGGAUAGGACGAUGGCUUGGAUGCCAUUGUGGAAAGUUUUUCGGUGUGGGAUGAGCUCGCGGCCUAUCAGCUUGUUGGUGGGGUAAUGGCCUACCAAGGCGUCGACGGGUAGCCGGCCUGAGAGGGUGUACGGCCACAUUGGGACUGAGAUACGGCCCAGACUCCUACGGGAGGCAGCAGUGGGGAAUAUUGCACAAUAGGCGCAAGCCUGAUGCAGCGACGCCGCGUGGGGGAUGACGGCCUUCGGGUUGUAAACUCCUUUCGCUAGGGACGAAGCGCAAGUGACGGUACCUGGAGAAGAAGCACCGGCUAACUACGUG
rnacentral:rRNA from 1 species